rnacentral:rRNA from 1 species
CAGUCGAGCGGUAGCACAGAGAGCUUGCUCUCGGGUGACGAGCGGCGGACGGGUGAGUAAUGUCUGGGAAACUGCCUGAUGGAGGGGGAUAACUACUGGAAACGGUAGCUAAUACCGCAUAACGUCGCAAGACCAAAGUGGGGGACCUUCGGGCCUCAUGCCAUCAGAUGUGCCCAGAUGGGAUUAGCUNGUAGGUGGGGUAACGGCUCACCUAGGCGACGAUCCCUAGCUGGUCUGAGAGGAUGACCAGCCACACUGGAACUGAGACACGGUCCAGACUCCUACGGGAGGCAGCAGUGGGGAAUAUUGCACAAUGGGCGCAAGCCUGAUGCAGCCAUGCCGCGUGUGUGAAGAAGGCCUUCGGGUUGUAAAGCACUUUCAGCGGGGAGGAAGGCGNUNAGGUUAAUAACCUNNUCGAUUGACGUUACCCGCAGAAGAAGCACCGGCUAACUCCGUGCCAGCAGCCGCGGUAAUACGGAGGGUGCAAGCGUUAAUCGGAAUUACUGGGCGUAAAGCGCACGCAGGCGGUCUGUCAAGUCGGAUGUGAAAUCCCCGGGCUCAACCUGGGAACUGCAUUCGAAACUGGCAGGCUAGAGUCUUGUAGAGGGGGGUAGAAUUCCAGGUGUAGCGGUGAAAUGCGUAGAGAUCUGGAGGAAUACCGGUGGCGAAGGCGGCCCCCUGGACAAAGACUGACGCUCAGGUGCGAAAGCGUGGGGAGCAAACAGGAUUAGAUACCCUGGUAGUCCACGCUGUAAACGAUGUCGAUUUGGAGGUUGUGCCCUUGAGGCGUGGCUUCCGGAGCUAACGCGUUAAAUCGACCGCCUGGGGAGUACGGCCGCAAGGUUAAAACUCAAAUGAAUUGACGGGGGCCCGCACAAGCGGUGGAGCAUGUGGUUUAAUUCGAUGCAACGCGAAGAACCUUACCUGGUCUUGACAUCCACAGAACUUUCCAGAGAUGGAUUGGUGCCUUCGGGAACUGUGAGACAGGUGCUGCAUGGCUGUCGUCAGCUCGUGUUGUGAAAUGUUGGGUUAAGUCCCGCAACGAGCGCAACCCUUAUCCUUUGUUGCCAGCGGUNNGGCCGGGAACUCAAAGGAGACUGCCAGUGAUAAACUGGAGGAAGGUGGGGAUGACGUCAAGUCAUCAUGGCCCUUACGACCAGGGCUACACACGUGCUACAAUGGCAUAUACAAAGAGAAGCGACCUCGCGAGAGCAAGCGGACCUCAUAAAGUAUGUCGUAGUCCGGAUUGGAGUCUGCAACUCGACUCCAUGAAGUCGGAAUCGCUAGUAAUCGUAGAUCAGAAUGCUACGGUGAAUACGUUCCCGGGCCUUGUACACACCGCCCGUCACACCAUGGGAGUGGGUUGCAAAAGAAGUAGGUAGCUUAAC